rnacentral:rRNA from 1 species
GAGCGGCGAACGGGUGAGUAACACGUGAGUAACCUGCCCCUGACUCUGGGAUAAGCCUGGGAAACCGGGUCUAAUACCGGAUGUGACCUCCUCCGGCAUCGGAUGGUGGUGGAAAGUUUUUCGGUCAGGGAUGGGCUCGCGGCCUAUCAGCUUGUUGGUGGGGUAGUGGCCUACCAAGGCGACGACGGGUAGCCGGCCUGAGAGGGCGACCGGCCACACUGGGACUGAGACACGGCCCAGACUCCUACGGGAGGCAGCAGUGGGGAAUAUUGCGCAAUGGGCGGAAGCCUGACGCAGCGACGCCGCGUGGGGGAUGACGGCCUUCGGGUUGUAAACCUCUUUCAGCAGGGACGAAGUUGACGUGUACCUGCAGAAGAAGCGCCGGCUAACUACGUGCCAGCAGCCGCGGUAAUACGUAGGGCGCAAGCGUUGUCCGGAAUUAUUGGGCGUAAAGAGCUCGUAGGUGGCUGGUCGCGUCUGCCGUGAAAGCCCGCAGCUUAACUGCGGGUCUGCCGGUGGAUACGGGCCGGCUAGAGGUAGGUAGGGGCAAGUGGAAUUCCU